ACCUAAGGUAGAGGCGCUAUUAAUAAAGAGUACUUAUUAUGAGUUGGCAAACGUUGAUUUGUAAGGAAAGGUAUUAUGGCCGAAGAUUUAAAUCAUGCAAAGAUUUAUUUCUGGGUAUGCAUAAAAUAUAUGUAUAACUGUCACGAAAGUGGAGAGCUACAAGGAUG
rfam:Clostridium sp. DL-VIII chromosome, whole genome shotgun sequence.